AAGUCUAAAACGACUCUCGGCAACGGAUAUCUCGGCUCUCGCAUCGAUGAAGAACGUAGCGAAAUGCGAUACUUGGUGUGAAUUGCAGAAUCCCGUGAACCAUCGAGUCUUUGAACGCAAGUUGCGCCCCAAGCCUUCUGGCCGAGGGCACGUCUGCCUGGGUGUCACU
rnacentral:rRNA from 1 species